rnacentral:rRNA from 1 species
GACGAACGCUGGCGGCGUGCCUAAUACAUGCAAGUAGAACGCACAGUUUAUACCGUAGCUUGCUACACCAUAGACUGUGAGUUGCGAACGGGUGAGUAACGCGUAGGUAACCUGCCUGGUAGCGGGGGAUAACUAUUGGAAACGAUAGCUAAUACCGCAUAAUAUUAAUUAUUGCAUGAUAAUUAAUUGAAAGGUGCAAUUGCACCACUACCAGAUGGACCUGCGUUGUAUUAGCUAGUAGGUGAGGUAACGGCUCACCUAGGCGACGAUACAUAGCCGACCUGAGAGGGUGAUCAGCCACACUGGGACUGAGACACGGCCCAGACUCCUACGGGAGGCAGCAGUAGGGAAUCUUCGGCAAUGGACGAAAGUCUGACCGAGCAACGCCGCGUGAGUGAAGAAGGUUUUCGGAUCGUAAAGCUCUGUUGUAAGAGAAGAACGGGUGUGAGAGUGGAAAGUCCACACUGUGACGGUAUCUUACCAGAAAGGGACGGCUAACUACGUG